UUAUAGGAUUACUUUCCUUCUUAGAUAGGAUCACAAUUGUAUAUAUGUUGUAAUCCUUUUUUUAAAAAUAAGAGAAAAUAUUUUCACAACAAUUUUAAUUACAAUAGAAGUUACGAUUAUAAAUUCCUUAAAAAAGCCUUCUUUAAUCAAUUUAAAAUUUUGAAAACUUUAGAAAUUGGUCCAAUAGACGCCACUAACACCUAUUAAAACCUAAACAUUAAAUAAGCCUAGAGAAUAGGGAGAGUCACUAAACUUUUAUCCUUAAUUCCGUCCUUUUCUUUCCUGUUACCUCUCUGCCUCUCUAUCUUCAUUGACAACCAUUUUCCCUUUCUUUCCCAUUACCCCUCCUUCUUGAUCUCUCAAUGUCGAUAACCAUUAUUUACCAGUAGUCCAACCACUAACAUUCCGCCACUUUUCAUCAUUUGAAAGAUACCUGAAAUCAAUUUGAAAAAAGGAAAUGGAAUCUCUAUUUUUGGCAAUCCAGAACAUGCAACACCAUGUUCCAAGCUGCAGAAGUACCACGAUCAGGGACAUUUCCCAG
rnacentral:misc_RNA from 1 species